rnacentral:rRNA from 1 species
CAGUCGCCGCGGUAAUACGUAGGUGGCAAGCGUUGUCCGGAAUUAUUGGGCGUAAAGCGCGCGCAGGUGGUUUAAUAAGUCUGAUGUGAAAGCCCACGGCUCAACCGUGGAGGGUCAUUGGAAACUGUUAAACUUGAGUGCAGGAGAGAAAAGUGGAAUUCCUAGUGUAGCGGUGAAAUGCGUAGAGAUUAGGAGGAACAUCAGCGGCGAAGGCGGCUUUCUGGACUGCAACUGACACUGAGGUACGAAAGCGUGGGGAGCAAACAGGAUUAGAUACCCCGGUAGUCCCUGUCUCUUAUAC